rnacentral:rRNA from 1 species
GACGAACGCUGGCGGCGUGCUUAACACAUGCAAGUCGAACGGAAAGGCCCUGCUUUUGUGGGGUGCUCGAGUGGCGAACGGGUGAGUAACACGUGAGUAACCUGCCCUUGACUUUGGGAUAACUUCAGGAAACUGGGGCUAAUACCGGAUAGGAGCUCCUGCUGCAUGGUGGGGGUUGGAAAGUUUCGGCGGUUGGGGAUGGACUCGCGGCUUAUCAGCUUGUUGGUGGGGUAGUGGCUUACCAAGGCUUUGACGGGUAGCCGGCCUGAGAGGGUGACCGGGCACAUUGGGACUGGGGAACGGCCCAGGCUGCUACGGGGAGCAACAGGGGGGAAUAUUGCACAACGGGGCGGAGCCUUAUGCAGCAACGCCGGGGUCGGGAAGAAGGCCUUCCGGGUGGAAACCGCUUUCAGCUGGUACGAAGCGUUAGUGACGGUAAUGGGUAAAGAAGCACCGGCUAACUACGUG